CACGUAGGGGGCGAGCGUUGUCCGGAAUUACUAGGCGUAAAGGGCAGGCAGGCGGAUCCAUAAGUUUAUCGUUUAAGGCGUAGGCUUAACCGGCGUAGGGCGGUAGAUACUGUGGAUCUGGAAUGCGGUUGGGGAAGACAGAAUUCCUGGUGUAGCGGUGGAAUGCGCAGAGAUCAGGAGGAAUACCGAAGGCGAAGGCAGUCUUCCAAGCCGUUAUUGACGCUCAACUGCGAAGGUGUGGGUAUCAAACAGGAUUAGAUACCCUGGUAGUCCCUGA
rnacentral:rRNA from 1 species